rnacentral:rRNA from 1 species
GGGUUGUGAGGUUAAGCGACUAAGCGUACACGGUGGAUGCCCUGGCAGUCAGAGGCGAUGAAGGACGUGCUAAUCUGCGAUAAGCGUCGGUAAGGUGAUAUGAACCGUUAUAACCGGCGAUUUCCGAAUGGGGAAACCCAGUGUGAUUCGUCACACUAUCAUUAACUGAAUCCAUAGGUUAAUGAGGCGAACCGGGGGAACUGAAACAUCUAAGUACCCCGAGGAAAAGAAAUCAACCGAGAUUCCCCCAGUAGCGGCGAGCGAACGGGGAGGAGCCCAGAGCCUGAAUCAGUGUGUGUGUUAGUGGAAGCGUCUGGAAAGGCGCGCGAUACAGGGUGACAGCCCCGUACACAAAAAUGCACAUGCUGUGAGCUCGAUGAGUAGGGCGGGACACGUGGUAUCCUG